rnacentral:rRNA from 1 species
CAGCAGCCGCGGUAAUACGUAGGUCCCGAGCGUUGUCCGGAUUUAUUGGGCGUAAAGCGCGCGCAGGCGGAUAGGUCAGUCUGUCUUAAAAGUUCGGGGCUUAACCCCGUGAUGGGAUGGAAACUGCCAAUCUAGAGUAUCGGAGAGGAAAGUGGAAUUCCUAGUGUAGCGGUGAAAUGCGUAGAUAUUAGGAAGAACACCAGUGGCGAAGGCGACUUUCUGGACGAAAACUGACGCUGAGGCGCGAAAGCCAGGGGAGCGAAUGGGAUUAGAUACCCGAGUAGUCCCUGUCUCUUAUACC